ACAAGUCGAGCGGUAAGCCAACUUCGGUUGGCCUAGAGCGGCGGACGGGGUAGUAACACGUGGUUAAUCUACCCUUUUGUUUGGGAUAGCUUUUGUAAACAUGAGGUAAUACCGGAUGAGAUUCUUUUAUCAUAAGGUGAAAGAAGGAAAGGCGCUUUACAGCGUCGCAAGAGGAUGAGUCCGCGGCCCAUUAGCUAGACGGCAGGGUAAAAGCCUACCGUGGCAAUGAUGGGUAGCCGGCCUGAGAGGGUGAUC
rnacentral:rRNA from 1 species